CUCACCGCAACCCAAAGGCUCUUUUCAGAGCCACCCAACAGUUCACAAUAGAGAGCUGUGCACUUCCUGUGGCAGCAGCCAGCCCUCUUUACGCGAAUCUCCCGUUUUUUCAUGCGACAGUGUUAUAUUAGUGUCCCCCACUUCCUGCUAUCAGCGCAGGCUCCUGGAGUCUUAGGCACUCUUUGUGUUGCAACUAGAGAAGAGACCGGAUCAAUGGCCCCCGAACGAUCCCUUUUCAGCAUCUCAUGCUAGCCCUGGCUACCCGGGAACUCAACUAUGAAGCCCAAACCAAUCUCCAACUCUCAGCAAUCCCCCUGCUUCACCUUCUAAUUAUAGGUGGAGGCCACCACACCCUUUAGUGUUGUUUUGUUCCUGUUUGUUUUGGUAUUUUGAGACAGAGUCUGGAACUCAGAAGACCAAGCUGACCUCACAUUUCCACCUGCCUCUUCCUGCUGACCACUGUGAUUAAAGGUGUGUACCUCCA